rnacentral:sRNA from 1 species
CCGAGAUUGAAGGUUCCGCGCUCGAACU